AGAGUUUGAUUAUGGCUCAGGAUGAACGCUAGCGGCAGGCUUAACACAUGCAAGUCGAGGGGCAGCGGGAUGUAGCAAUACAUUGCCGGCGACCGGCGGAUGGGUGCGUAACGCGUAUGCAACCUACCUUAUACAGGGGAAUAACCUUUCGAAAGGGAGACUAACACCCCAUAGUAUUGAUUUAAGGCAUCUUAGAUUAAUUAAAUAUUUAUAGGUAUAAGAUGGGCAUGCGUAUGAUUAGCUAGUUGGUAAGGUAACGGCUUACCAAGGCGACGAUCAUUAGGGGUUCUGAGAGGAAGGUCCCCCACACUGGUACUGAGACACGGACCAGACUCCUACGGGAGGCAGCAGUGAGGAAUAUUGGUCAAUGGGCGCAAGCCUGAACCAGCCAUGCCGCGUGCAGGAAAGACGGCCUUAUGGGUUGUAAACUGCUUUUACAUAAGACUAACCGUAUAUUUGCGAAUAUACCUGAAUGUAUUAUGAGAAUAAGGAUCGGCUAACUCCGUGCCAGCAGCCGC
rnacentral:rRNA from 1 species